rnacentral:lncRNA from 1 species
GAUAUUUUUUUUAAAUUUAAAAAUUCUAUAGUUCCUACUAUAAAAUUAAUUUUUACAAAAAAUUUGGUAAUUAACUUUAUUUUUCAAAAUAUAAUCAGAACAAUAUAAACAUAGUAAUCUAAAAUAUAGAAAAAGAAGAGGAAAAAAGCUAAUUUUCUGAAUAUUUUUCAGAAAAUUAGCUUUUUUGGUAUGUUUGUUUCUAUGGCAUCCUGCUGUCUGCUACAGAAACAAACAUACUAGAUGCUUGUCCCAGCUCCGCUGAACCAACAGCCACAAUGGCAUCUACGUAUCUACAUUUAUUAUACUUGCAGCUCCGCUGAGCCACAACGGCAUCUAUGUAUUUACCUUAUUAUGCUCGCUUUGUGCCUACAGCUGCUUUAUCGUACCUCUACUUUAUUAUACCUCUGCUUUGCUGUGCCCUCCAGCUUUAUGCUCACUGCUUUAUUAUACGUGUCAUAUAAAAAAGCUAAUUUUCUGAAAAA